rnacentral:misc_RNA from 1 species
ACAAUUUCUGUAUAAAUAGCUAGUUCAAACUUCAGUCCAGUACUUACAAAAAAGACGAAGAGAAGAGCAGAAGAAUACCAGCAUCGAUCAACUUUAUCGGCUAGUUUCCAUACCAACAAAAUGAAAGUUCUGAUCAUUGUAGCCGUUUUCAGUGUUAUCGCACUUGUUGCUGCAAAGCCAAACAAACCACGUGACUUCAGACGCGGUGGGUUUGGACAGGGAUUGGGAAGGUUCCCUAAACUCAACUGUGAUAAUGUCGGAGAAGUGGAUUGUAGCGCGCUGAAAGAGAAACAGCUUUGUGACCAGAACGGAGAACAGUACAGAAACUAUUGUGCCUAUCUUGAGAAGAACUGCCCUCUUUCGGAGUCUGCAGAAAAGCCUUUCCGUUGCAACGCUGAUGGAAAUCCCCUAGCUAGAGAGGAACGCCCAGACAGUCGGCUAGAGCGUAGACCGUUUUUUCCGAACAAGAGGGAAUUGUGUGUUCUGAUCAAAAAUGCUGACUGCUCCGACCCUGCUCUUCCCGCCAGGAAGAUUUGUGACAACAUGGACGGUGUCUAUAAUAAUAUUUGCGAGUUCCUGCAAGCCAAAUGUGCCACACCAGAACUGAGGCCAGCUCAAUGUCCAGAGCCGACCACACAGUCUCCUGGAGAUGAGACCACUGAAGAUUCCCAAGUGCCAUAAGCUGUACACACAUGACGUCAUUUGGGAUAUGUUUGCUUGACUGACUUCAUGUUCAUGUCACAGCGCUGGUGACGUCACUGAUUGUUACAUGUGUGAAAAUGAAAGAGCUGAUAGACCAAAGUGUUACGUUAAACAAUGACCCCUUCUUUGGUUUAUCUUUUUAUGUAUAUGCACUUGAACAUUUACUUAAAAACCAGUGUUCCUACAGAUUCGUUAUCCCAAGCCAACUUUGCAUAAUUUCUUUCUUUCUGUUUAUUCUCGUAAUUCCUGAUUUAUGCUAUUUAUAUGGACGUGCCAAAUUCAAACGCAGAGGCAGCAAGUAUCGUUUU